rnacentral:rRNA from 1 species
AUGGCGGGCACGGUGGUGAGCAUGGCGCGAUCCAUGCUGGGCGCUGUCAUCAGCGUGGCCGCCUCCGCCGCCGCCACCGAGAUGAGCCUUCUCAUGGGCGUCCGCGACGACAUUCGGUUUAUGAAAAACGAGCUAGAGACGAUGCAGGCAUUUCUGGUGACCGCUGAAGCAGCCAAGGAAAAUAACAGGCAACUGCAGGUGUGGGCGAAGCAAGUAAGGGAUCUAGCCUAUGUCAUUGAGGAUUGCCUUGAUGAGUUUAUGGUGCAUGUGGGAAGCCGGAGCCGGUCUCGACGGCUGUUUAAGCUGAAAGACCGUCGUCGCAUUGCAAAACAGAUCCGUGGUCUCAAAGCAAGAGUUGAGGAAGUGAGCAACAGGAACACCCGCUAUAACUUUAUCAACACGGAUGCCUCCAGCAGUAUUGACGAGGCGAAUUCCUACAUGGAAGAUAUCCGCAGCCACUCAGCUAGCAACAUUGACGAGGCACAGCUUGUGGGCUUUGCUAAGACCAAAAAGGAGUUGAUUAAUAUGGUUGAUGUUAACUCUAGAUAUGGUCUUUCAAAGGUGAUAAGUGUCGUUGGCAUGGGUGGUUUAGGCAAGACUACUCUUGCCAGGAAAGUAUAUGAAAGUAAGGAAAACAUUGUAAAUAAAUUUGCUUGGUGUGCUUGGGUCACCAUAUCACAGUCAUUUUCCAAGAUGGAGAUGCUCAAGGGCAUGAUUAUGCAACUUUUGGGUCCCGAGUCACUGAGGAAAUGCUUGAAAGAUCUUGAAGGGAAGGCAGUGCAAGUAGAAGACCUCUCCAGGUACCUCAGAGAAAAUUUGGAGGACAAGAGGUACUUCAUUGUUCUCGAUGACCUAUGGACCAUAGAUUCUUGGAAUUGGAUCAAAGAUAUUGCUUUUCCUAUUAGAAACAACAAAGGUAGCCGAAUAAUAAUAACAACUCGAGAUGUUGGCUUGGCUGAGCAGUGCACUUCUGAAUCGCUUAUCUACCAGCUUAAACAUCUGCAAAUAAAGGAUGCCACACAUUUGCUACUAAGAAAGAGUAGGAAAACACAUGAAUACAUGAAAAAUGAUAAGGAAGUGAAGAUGGUGGUCAACAAAAUGGUAAAGAAGUGUGGUGGUCUGCCGUUGGCUAUACUCACUAUUGGAGGCAUGCUUGCCAGCAAAAAGGUGACAGAGUGGGAAAGUAUCUAUGAACAAAUCCCAUCAGAGCUCGAGAGCAACCCUAGCCUUGAAGCACUGAGGAAGAUAGUUACUCUGAGCUACAACAACUUGCCGUCUCAUCUCAAGUCAUGCUUUCUAUAUCUAAGCAUCUUUCCUGAGGAUUUUGAAAUCAAAAGGAGGCGUCUAGUAGACAGAUGGAUAGCCGAGGGGUUUGUUACAGCCAGAGGUGGAGUAAACAUCGAGGAUGUUGGAAUAAGUUAUUUCACCGAGCUAAUCAACCGAAGCAUGAUUCAACCCUCGAAAGUGAACAUGGAAGGAAAUAUUAAGAGCUGUCGAGUCCAUGAUAUCAUGCGUGAUGUGAUGAUCUCAAUAUCUAGGGAUGAAAUUUUUGUGCACUUGGUAGGAGAUAAUGCUACUGCUGUAGCAGACUGUAACUACCACCAUGUAGCAUUCCAUGGUAGCAAGCGCCAAAAGAUCGGCAUGGAUUGUAUCCAUGUUCGUUCAUUAACCGUGUUUGGUGAAAGAUCCAUGGAGCCAUCAGCUUCACUUUUUUCAUCUAAGUUGAGAAUGCUUAGAGCCCUUGACCUAGAAGAUGGGGAUUUUGUUGUCAGACAGGAAGACAUCAACAACAUAGGGUCACUGCGCCACUUGAAAUAUCUGACUGUUAGGCCUUUUGGUGAGUGUUCAAAUUUGCAUAAACUGCCAGGAUCUAUUGGCAAGUUACAAGGCUUGCAGAGUUUGGACUUGGGAUACAGCUGUAUUAAAACACUACCAACUGAGAUUGGUAAACUUGAAGGUCUUCGUACGCUCCGGUGCAGAAAAAAUGAAUAUUUUAAAUAUUAUGAUUAUUUCAAAUAUUUGAGUGAGAACAUGGAGAAAUACAAGUGCAUGGGUGGUAUAUUGUGUAUACCCAUGGUAUGCUCUAGUGGGUUUCCAAGUGGUGCGCGUGAAGAAAAAGAGGGUGCUGUAGCGUUGCGUCAAGGAAUCAGUAACUUAAAAGAGUUACAGAUACUAGAGUACGUGGACAUCGAAAGAACAAGUAGCAGAGCAAUCGAAGAGCUUGGGGAGCUUACACAACUAAAGAAAUUGAGAGUGACUACGGAAGGGGCAACCGAGGAAAAAUGCAAGCUAUUCUGGGAGGCCAUUGGGAAGCUCCCUUGUCUUUACUCUCUUCAUGUGGAUGGUAACAAUAUCGAGUGGCUGGGUUCUGCUUCCUUUGCUCCCCCCCUCAUGAGGACCCUGAGAUUGAAAGGAAAUAUUGUAGAGGUGCCCAACUGGGUUGGUAGUCUGAGGCAUUUGGUGAAGAUUAUAUUCUGUGGGUCCGUAGAAAAAGAAGGAGAAAAAACCAUGGAGAUGCUAGGGGCACUGCCCAACCUCAUGCUCGUUGAUCUCUCGUUUUAUUAUGGUGUUCGAGAGGAGCUAGUGUUUGUGUCGGAAGCAUUUCCAAGUCUCAGGAUACUUCGUAUGCACUUCCGGCAUGAUAUGAGAAUGGUGAGAUACGAGGAGGGCACCAUGCCCCACAUUGCAGAGCUAUAUUUACAUUUCACCUUCCAAAACUCUGUACGGAUUACUGGCAUCAAACACCUUCCAAAGAUCAAGGAGAUUUCAAUUCGAAUCCCCAGGGUGCUGAAUAAUUUUGAGCUGCACCAGGAAGUGAAAUCACACCCAAACCAUCCUGUGAUGCGAGUGUCAUUCCGAGACCGGGGUACUACCACCGUAGGAGGAUCAAAUGUUGUAGAGGUGGAAGAAGCAAUGGGGGAAUCAUCAGCUGUACUUUCCGAGCACGGAGCAGCACGAGAGAGCUACUUAGAUGUGCAGACAGGGAGCGACAGUGAAGAUGAUCUGCGGUGA